rnacentral:rRNA from 1 species
UACGUAGGGUGCAAGCGUUACUCGGAAUUACUGGGCGUAAAGCGUGCGCAGGCGGUUUUGUAAGUUUGUUGUGAAAGCCCCGGGCUCAACCUGGGAAUUGCGAUGAAGACUGCAAGGCUUGAAUCUGGCAGAGGGGGGUAGAAUUCCACGUGUAGCAGUGAAAUGCGUAGAGAUGUGGAGGAACACCGAUGGCGAAGGCAGCCCCCUGGGUCAAGAUUGACGCUCAUGCACGAAAGCGUGGGGAGCAAACAGG